UGGUUAGCUCAGCCAGUAAGAGCAUGAGACUCUUCAUCUCAGGGUUGUGGGUUCCAGCCCCAUGUUGGGUCAAAA